rnacentral:rRNA from 1 species
GGGGGGACGGAGAAGGCUAGGUGGGCCUGGCGACGGUUGUCCAGGUUCAAGUGCGUAGGCUUAAGAGUUAGGUAAAUCCGGCUCUUUUUAAGGCUGAGACACGACGUCGAGCCACUACGGUGGUGAAGUCAUUGAUGCCAUGCUUCCAGGAAAAGCCUCUAAGCUUCAGAUUGUAAGGAAUCGUACCCCAAACCGACACAGGUGGUCGGGUAGAG